rnacentral:rRNA from 1 species
GACGAACGCUGGCGGCGUGCUUAACACAUGCAAGUCGAACGGAAAGGCCCUGCUUUUGUGGGGUGCUCGAGUGGCGAACGGGUGAGUAACACGUGAGUAACCUGCCCUUGACUUUGGGAUAACUUCAGGAAACUGGGGCUAAUACCGGAUAGGAGCUCCUGCUGCAUGGUGGGGGUUGGAAAGUUUCGGCGGUUGGGGAUGGACUCGCGGCUUAUCAGCUUGUUGGUGGGGUAGUGGCUUACCAAGGCUUUGACGGGUAGCCGGCCUGAGAGGGUGACCGGCCACAUGGGGACUGGGAUACGGCCCAGACUCCUACGGGAGGCAGCAGUGGGGAAUAUUGCACAAUGGGCGGAAGCCUGAUGCAGCAACGCCGCGUGCGGGAUGACGGCCUUCGGGUUGUAAACCGCUUUCGCCUGUGACGAAGCGUGAGUGACGGUAAUGGGUAAAGAAGCACCGGCUAACUACGUG